UGAGGUUGAUGAGAGCUGUGAGAGUCAACCAAAACAGCUAAACAAUGAGCUGAAACUCACUAUAAAGCUCCGUAAAGCAGAGCGAAGCUGCAGAUUCAGCUGAUAUUCUCU